AUUGAACGCUGGCGGCAGGCCUAACACAUGCAAGUCGAACGAGUGGCGGACGGGUGAGUAAUGUCUGGGAAACUGCCCGAUGGAGGGGGAUAACUACUGGAAACAUUAGCUAAUACCGCAUACCCUCGGAUGUGCCCAGAUGGGAUUAGCUGGUGGGUGGGGUAACGGCUCACCUAGGCGACGAUCACUACCUGGUCUGCGAGGAUGACCAGCUGCAUGGGAACUGAGGCACGGUCCGAACGCCUACGGGAGGCAGCAGUGGGGAAUAGUGCACAUUGGGCGCAAGCCGGAUGCAUCCAGACCGGUUGUAAGAAGAAGGCCUUCGGGUCGAAAAAUACUGUCAGCGAGGAGGCGUUACUCGCAGAGGAAGAACCGGCUAACUCCGUGCCAGCAGCCGCGGUAAUUC
rnacentral:rRNA from 1 species